ensembl:snRNA U2 U2 spliceosomal RNA
GGGGCUUCUCUGCCUUUUGGCUAAGAUAAAAUGUAGUAUCAGUUCUUAUCAUUUUGAUGAGAAUUUCAAUACCACAUCUUGAUUUUAUUUACGGGAUUUUAU